UACGUAGGGUCCAAGCGUUAUCCGGAAUCACUGGGCGUAAAGCGUGCGUAGGUGGCGCGUAAGUGUGAUGUUAAAUCGUGGGGCUCAACCCUGUCGGUGCAUCACAUACUGGCGUGCUAGAGGACAGCAGAGGCAAGUGGAAUUAGCAGUGUAGCAGUGAAAUGCGUAGAUAUUGCUAGGAACACCAAUGGCGAAGGCAGCUUGCUGGGCUACUCCUGACACUGAUGUACGAAAGCGUGGGGAGCGAACAGG
rnacentral:rRNA from 1 species